ensembl:lncRNA novel transcript
GUCAUUGGAACAAGCCUUGCUCGGUCGUCAGUGUGGAUGUUCCUGGGUCCCCUAGAACACUCGAAAUCUCCCCAAAAAUACCAGAGAGUAGCGCACUGAAUGAUAUUCCAUGGUCUGGAUGUGCCACAGUUUGUUUAUUCACCUACAGAAGGAAAUCUUGGUUGUUUCCAAGUUUGGGCAAUUAUGAAUGAAGCUGCUAUAGAAAUAUAUGUGUGUGUUCGGAGUUUCUUCCUUCUGAUGGAUUCGUGGUCUCCCUGGCUGAGGAGUGAAGCCGUAAACCUUCGCGGUGAGUUUUACAGCUCUUAAGGCAGGGCGUCUGGAGUUGUUCCCUCCUUCCAGUGGGCUCAUCAUCUCGCUGGCUUCAGAAAUGAAACUGCAGACUCUCCAGACAAGUGUUACAACUGCUAAGGCGACGCUUCUGGAGUUGUUCGUUCCUCUCGGUGGGCUCGUGGCUUCGCUGGCUUCAGAAGUGAGACUACAGAUCUUCCCGUGGCACAUGGACACCCAAGAACUUAAGGAGGUCAGAGAAAAUCUCAAAAGAAUAUGCAAAAUUUGUCCAGAUUUUUUAUCCGUGAUUGAACUUGAACCCCUGAGUUUGGUGAAAUUCCAAUAUAACUGUCUGGGAGAUCAUCAGAAACUAAUAGUCUUUGAGGAUGCAGGUGUAAUGAAGAGAGAUUGGAGAGAUUAAAGCUCUAUGCAGUGGACUUGAUAUUGUGAUUAAGGAUUAUAGACUAAAAAUUGUGAUAAAUUUACAAAAACAGACGGCCCUUAUUAAAGGGGGAAAGAAAAAAAAACACGCACACCCUAAGGCCCCGCUGGGAUUCGAACCCAGGAUCUCCUGUUUACGAGACAGGCGCUUUAGCCAACUAAGCCACAGAGCCAGCCGUGCUGAUUCUGUGGCUUCUUUUAUGACCGAAUUGCACUUAAUUAGGUGACAAAUUCUGUUGCCAUUAAGAGUUACUGUGUUUUCGAAUACAUCAACUUUGCAGUAAAGGCAGACUCCUGAAAGGAACUUCUAGAAAUUAGACUCCCUUCAAGUCCAACAAAACACACCCACACUCACACAAUCACUUAGAAAAUGUGCUUAGAACAAUGUCAGCGCGUCCCAGAGGGCAAAUAAAACCGUGAAAUCGGAGAGUGGAGAUGAACCAUGUUCCCAGCGGAGGAAGAGGCAUCGGUCUCUAGACGUGGCGAGAGCAGUUUUUACAUUCCAUGGCAUUGCGGUGAUUUCGAAUCAUCAAGUGGUUGGAUUCUAAAAGUGGAGUGAAAAGCUUUUCUAGCAAAACAGAUCAUUCAGAAUUUUCAUCACAUUAAUGGCUUUUCUGGCCAAUUAGAAGAUAGCACACGGAUGCGCUGAAAAACAAAAACUGUUAACGCGUUCAGACUCUCCAAACAGCUGCCAGAUCACUGCUUUAGAGAAAGCAGGCGACAGCUGGGAGGCGACCUGGUCGGAGCUCACUUAACGGUUUUGUAUUUCAAAUCCAAAGAGACUUUGCCUGCUCGAGGCUUGUGUUCCCGCGGCUCCUGAGAGGGGGCACAGAUGGAAACCAGAAGGGGAGGCGUCACCGGACAGGGUCUUUCCUAAUUCUGCCUUCCUCAUUUUGGUUCUUCAAGCUUCAAUUAGAUGUUUCCUAAUAUCUUCCUUAUGGAUCCGCACCUUGUAGAAGCUAAACAAACAUUAAUUGAUUGAAAAAUCCCCAAAUUAAGAUCCAUUCUGAAACUGUUAACGAUUGUAUCCUAGUUUUCUGCCUUUGCUUAGUACUGAGGCUGGUGCCAAAGUGAGGGAGUGAGUUCACCAAAUAAAGCAAGCGUCUCUGCACAUUACCCAGCUUCCCCGCCAUGUUAAAAAGACAACAGGGAGGACUACAAAAUUCCCUAUUUAACCUGGCAAAGGCUGUAAGGGGCUCUGGGCCGGAUAAUGCCCUUGAAUCCUAAAGUCUUUCUUAAUUCCUCUCUUGAGCCAAAAUUUGGAGCAUUGCCAUUUCGUAUCCCAUUCAGAAUGUUUUUGUAGUGAAUAUAAACUUAUUUUCCUGUUAACCAAGAUAGUCACGUUUUAAUUUAAUAUAGAUUAACAAACUGUUAUGAUUAGACCUGUACUAACAGUUACUGUAUUAAGAGUUACUGUAUAUUUACUGAGUU